rnacentral:rRNA from 1 species
GACGAACGCUGGCGGCGUGCUUAACACAUGCAAGUCGAACGGAAAGGCCCUGCUUUUGUGGGGUGCUCGAGUGGCGAACGGGUGAGUAACACGUGAGUAACCUGCCCUUGACUUUGGGAUAACUUCAGGAAACUGGGGCUAAUACCGGAUAGGAGCUCCUGCUGCAUGGUGGGGGUUGGAAAGUUUCGGCGGUUGGGGAUGGACUCGCGGCUUAUCAGCUUGUUGGUGGGGUAGUGGCUUACCAAGGCUGUGACGGGUAGCCGGCCUGAGAGGGUGACCGGCCACAUUGGGACUGAGAUACGGCCCAGACUCCUACGGGAGGCAGCAGUGGGGAAUAUUGCACAAUGGGCGGAAGCCUGAAGCAGCAACGCCGCGUGCGGGAUGACGGCCUUCGGGUUGUAAACCGCUUUCGCCUGUGACGAAGCGUGAGUGACGGUAAUGGGUAAAGAAGCACCGGCUAACUACGUG